UCAAACUUGGUCAUUUAGAGGAAGUAAAAGUCGUAACAAGGUUUCCGUAGGUGAACCUGCGGAAGGAUCAUUAGCGAAAUCCAAAUUGGUCGGUGCCCCGGCGCCUCUCGGGCUGGGCCCUUCCAUCACAUCAUACACCUUUGUCGAACCGUCGGGGGGAUUGGUCGACGCCCUUCCCCUCACCCUUUCAAACUCUUAAAGUUUUGGAAUGAAGUUAAGGUGAAAACCAAAAGCACAAUUUUCAACAACGGAUCUCUUGGCUCUCGCAUCGAUGAAGAACGCAGC
rnacentral:misc_RNA from 1 species